UGUUUCUAGUGUAGAGACAUAAUAUAAUAAGAAAAGGACUUGAAAAAUAGCGGAUGCGAGCGUUACCUAACGAGAGUGGGCAACAUGGUAAAAGGGAAAAGGAAGGAGAAGAAAAAUGGUGCAGCGAGCAAAUAAUCCAAAGGCACCUAAUAUGACUAUGAGUGGUAGCGUGGUGUUUGUGCGAUGAGUUACACCAAGUAGGAAUUAAGGGAAAUAAAACGAGACGAAAGGAAAAGAAAAUAAAAUAAAAGGGAAAAAAAAUAAAAAUAAAAACUUGAGUGGAAAAAAGGAAACAUGAACCCUAAAAAAUAAAAAUAAAAGGGAAGAAUGAAAACCAAAAAUAAAAGUGAGGAAUGAAAACAAAAAAUUUAAUAAAAAGGAGGAAUGAAAACAAAAAAAUGUUCUACUCUACUAGUUUUAGUCUAGCUUUAGUAAAAAAAAAGAAAACAUCCUCAUUUCACUCAUCUCGUUUCUUCUGUUCACACCGCCCUUGUUACCAACUCGCUCAUUCCACUGGGUCCAUCCUCUUGACUGCCUGUGCUCGGCUGGCUUGUGAAAAGGCAAUGCUGGGUAAGUCCUGUGUGCUUCCAUUAGGGAUGUGUGGAGGUAUUUUGAUG